rnacentral:snRNA from 1 species
GUGCUCGCUUCAGCAGCACGUAUACUGAAAUUGGAACGAUACAGAAAAGAUCAGCAUGGCCCCUGCGCAAGGAUGACACGCAAAUUUAUGAAGCGUUCCAUAUUUUU